AAAAAUUUAGUUAAAAAAUAACGUUAGUUUGUCAAACUAAAAUUGUCAAUUUGACAAUUUUUA
rnacentral:tRNA from 2 species